CCUACGGGUCGCAGCAGUGGGGAAUAUUGCACAAUGGGCGCAAGCCUGAUGCAGCCAUGCCGCGUGUAUGAAGAAGGCCUUCGGGUUGUAAAGUACUUUCAGCGGGGAUGAAGGUGUUGUGGUUAAUAACCACAGCAAUUGACGUUACCCUCAGAAGAAGCACCGGCUAACUCCGUGCAAGCAGCCGCGGUAAUACGGAGGGUGCAAGCGUCAAUCGGAAUUACUGGGCGUAAAGCGCACGCAGGCGGUCUGUCAAGUCGGAUGUGAAAUCCCCGGGCUCAACCUGGGAACUGCAUUCGAAACUGGCAGGCUAGAGUCUUGUAGAGGGGGGUAGAAUUCCAGGUGUAGCGGUGAAAUGCGUAGAGAUCUGGAGGAAUACCGGUGGCGAAGGCGGCCCCCUGGACAAAGACUGACGCUCAGGUGCGACAGCGUGGGGAGCAAACAGGAUUAGAUACCCCAGUAGUC
rnacentral:rRNA from 1 species